CAGUAAUGACCAGACACAUCACACCCGCCUUCUAGAAGCCCUCCCUCACAAACCGGAUCAACUGCUAUGAUAAAGGUAAGACACGGAACAGUGUUGAGGAAGGCAGGAAUAAACAACUACAACAGGGUGGUCAAAGAAGCCUACACAGAGUUGAUUGCACUGGACAUCAGAGGUUGAGGAAGAAUGUUCUUGGAAGAAAAGGUAGGAAGAUCGUGUUUUCCAGUGGAGGUGUUAGACAGCCUCGUCUAUUCAGGGAUGUGCAGGUGGAACAGGCAUCUUCUUCCAGGGGGUGACAGGUAGCAGGAGCUAAGAGGCAACAUACAUGGCUGGACAGUGAGAUUGUGUUAAUGUGGAUUAUUCCUCAACAAAUAUGCAUUCUUCUCCUCUCCCAUUGUGAAUAGAGUUUUGGUUUCCUUCUUUUCAUGAUUUGCCAUGAGAAGAACCCACCCAGGUAAUCACUGCUUGCUCAGAUCCCAGCAAAUUCUAGAUCCCAGAACUAGUGCUCUUAGAGCCAAGGCCAGCCGAUCCAAGUCUGGACCACUGCUCAGAUGAGCCAAGCCUGAAUUUGGGAGUGGUCGCGUUACAGAGCAUUACCCUGGCAAUAACUGACUGAUGCAGAGAUGUAAAUAGACAUCACUGGUGGAGCCCCCAGGAAAGCUCUUUAACAGAAGACAGACUCAGCUGGCAGGUUUUUUGCCCCUUUCCCUUCUCUUCCCUUGAAUGAAGACAGGCUCAAUGCUUGGAGGG
rnacentral:antisense_RNA from 1 species